CUGUAGCUUAACUACAGAACUGCAUUUGAAACUGUUAUUCUAGAGUGUGGGAGAGGUAGGUGGAAUUCUUGGUGUAGGGGUAAAAUCCGUAGAGAUCAAGAGGAAUACUCAUUGCGAAGGCGACCUACUGGAACAUUACUGACGCUGAUGCGCGAAAGCGUGGGGAGCAAACAGGAUUAGAUACCCUGGUAGUCCACGCCCUAAACGAUGAAUGCUAGUUGUUGGGGUGCUUGUCACUCCAGUAAUGCAGUUAACACAUUAAGCAUUCCGCCUGGGGAGUACGGUCGCAAGAUUAAAACUCAAAGGAAUAGACGGGGACCCGCACAAGCGGUGGAGCAUGUGGUUUAAUUCGAUGCUACGCGAAGAACCUUACCUAGGCUUGACAUUGAUAGAAUCUGCUAGAAAUAGCGGAGUGUCUAGUUUACUAGACCUUGAAAACAGGUGCUGCACGGCUGUCGUCAGCUCGUGUCGUGAGAUGUUGGGUUAAGUCCCGCAACGAGCGCAACCCUCGUUCUUAGUUGCUAGCAGUUCGGCUGAGCACUCUAAGAAGACUGCCUUCCGUAAGGAGGAGGAAGGUGAGGACGACGUUAAGUCAUCAUGGCCCUUACGCCUAGGGCUACACACGUGCUACAAUGGGGUGCACAAAGAGACGCAAUACCGCGAGGUGGAGCAAAUCUCAAAAACAUCUCUCAGUUCGGAUUGUAGUCUGCAACUCGACUACAUGAAGCUGGAAUCGCUAGUAAUCGUGAAUCAGCCAUGUCACGGUGAAUACGUUCCCGGGUCUUGUACUCACCGCCCGUCACACCAUGGGAGUUGUAUUCGCCUUAAGCCGGGAUGCUAAAUUGGCUACCGUCCACGGCGGAUGCAGCGACUGGGGUGAAGUCGUAACAAGGUAACCGUAGUGAACC
rnacentral:rRNA from 1 species